GAUGAACGCUGGCGGCGUGCUUAACACAUGCAAGUCGAACGAGAAGUGAAGACGGAAACCUUCGGGCGGAAGGCUUUAUUUCGAGUGGCGGACGGGUGAGUAACGCGUGGGUAACCUGCCUCAUACAGGGGGAUAACAGUUGGAAACGACUGUUAAUACCGCAUAAGACCACAGCACCGCAUGGUGCGGGGGUAAAAACUCCGGUGGUAUGAGAUGGAUCCGCGUUCGAUUAGCCAGUUGGCGGGGUAACGGCCCACCAAAGCGACGAUCGAUAGCCGAUCUGAGAGGAUGACCGGCCACAUUGGGACUGAGACACGGCCCAAACUCCUACGGGAGGCAGCAGUGGGGAAUAUUGCACAAUGGGGGAAACCCUGAUGCAGCGACGCCGCGUGAGUGAAGAAGUAUUUCGGUAUGUAAAGCUCUAUCAGCAGGGAAGAAAAUGACGGUACCUGAGUAAGAAGCCCCGGCUAACUACGUG
rnacentral:rRNA from 1 species